UUGGAUGCCCUGGGGGUAAGCAGAUAAACAUCAAAUUUUCAUUUUUGAGUGAACUAUCCCUUUAGUAUGUGCUUUAUAAGUAGGCCUACUAAUAAACAGCCAAUAUCCUAGUAAUAUGCAACUAGUUAAUAGUGAGAAUUGGACCCUAAACUAAAGUGUUACUAACAUUUAACACAAAACAUUUAGUGUGCAACAUCCACAAUCAACAUUUAGUGUUAUUUUCACAUGAAUGUAAUAUGUUAAAGUCAAUAUGAAAUGAAAAUUCAUCAAAUGUAUUUUAUUGAUCUUUUUGUGAACAAUUCAUUCAUGCUUGUCUCAUUUAAAAAAAAAAAAAAUUACGUAAUUUUUUUAAAAUAUCAUAAUUUGAACUUCAGAUGACAUGACGGAUCAUUUAGUGCACUUAAACCCGCUCCUUUCGUACACUCGACAGCAGGCUCUCACUCAGAUCGGCCUCCAUCUGAUGAACUGAACCAAUUCCCACCCUUCGUUUUGUCUUUUCGAUCAUCUGUUUCACUCUGAUGUAUGUUACAAUACAGAAGAAAAGAUCAGUUUCUACUUCGGUUUUAUCACAACUUUAGAUUCAAAUAAUGAGUCAAGAAGGAGAUGCUAAAAAUCCAGCGGUCUGUAGUAUGCGUCAUUAUAUUAUAUGUCUGUAAUAUCAUUAACUCUACAGUAAUUCUCAGUGGCAGUUGCUCAUCUGGUUCAUCUAGACCUAGAGUGACAUGUGACAAAUCUGUCUGAAGCUGAAGGAAACUGGCAUUCAACAGUCCAAAGCUCUUUACUGCUGACUAGAUUUAUCACAAAACACGUAUCGAAAUGAAGACUGGCACAAAAGUGGGAUUUUCCUAGUGGUUCAACAGAAGAUUUCUGGUUCCGCAAAGAAACUUUCAGUGAACAGUUGAAAAGAACCAUUUUUUCUUAGUGUGUUAAAGGUUCUUCAUGGAACCGUUGAUGACAGGAAAGCUUUAUUUAUAAGAGUGUAGCUAAAUUUCAGUAAUAACAGAACUGAUAACAUAAUUAUUUUACCUUUUCUAAAAAAUAAAAUAAAAAUAAACACAUUAAGAAAUCUUUCACAUGGUGUAUGAAUUUGUGGCAACAUUUUACAAUUGUGGCCAUGUUGUACUAAUUUGUUCCAUCCAUUUACUAGCUUUGUACUAAUUUGUUCCCUUGUUUUAAUUUAAUUGUGGCCACAAUCUAAGUAAAAUAAGAGAUAAAAAUAAGUUGUGGGAACAAAUUUUGUAUUAAUGGCCACAAAAUAUUUUUUUCUUUUUUCCCUCUGUAUUUUCAGUUCAUUAGUUACACUGAGAAUGUACGGUCUUGCUGAGUGCAUUGCAUUGUGGGAUACAUUAUCUUGCACAGUGUUGUAUCCUGUACAUUUUGGCAAAUAUAGUAUGUGAUCUGAGAAUUAUUCGCAUUUAGAAAAUGUGUAUAUUCUGUUCUACUCGUAGCCAGAAGGCUGAUUAUUUUGUGAUAUUAAUCUCGAAAUUAGACAGCUUAUCAACCUUAUUUUGCAACGCGAAAGAUAUUUUCUGUGAUUGCACACUACUUCCAAUUAAUUAGCUGCUAUAGGUAAAUAACUGAUAGAAUAACAAAGUGCUGUAAAUGGUAUAAAUAAUUUGCAGUACAAACUAGUGUGUUUAUAAUUAUAUUAAAUUAAUAUGACAAAACAGUUUGCAUAUCAAGCAGCAUGACAGAUGGAAGCUUUGACACAUCCAAAUUCAUGGUUCGAUGGUUGUGGUUUGCUAUUGGUGGAUCUCAUGUGAGUGACAGGUUGCCCCGCCCUCGUCAUCAGAGAAGAGAAGAGAUGCUGCAAGAGGGAGGGGAAGAUAUUCUGAUUCAAGAUUAUGAGACACAUGAAUUUAAAAUAAUGAUGAUGUGCACCGAUAAAUCAUUUAGAAUAAAUACUCCAAUAUUUAAUAACAAAACAAAUUUGAUUUCAUAGUGUCUCAUGUUGUAUUGUUCGUAACUGUAAAGAAAAGUUUCAGUGUGGUGGGGGAGGGCCGAGUGCCGUUGCUUUUCUCAGGCACAGGAAGACGGGCGGGAGGCGGCCGGCGUGGACAUCAAAGUGAGGCCGAGCACUCUUCAUGUGUUCAUUAAAUAAAGAGCUGUCCUAGACUCGCUCGCUGAUUCCAGUAAACCCGUCACUUAAAAGAUCAGAGGAGCCACUCUCCUCCUCUGCGUCUUCCUCUGUCAUCUCUCCUUCAGACGUUUGUUCUGAUGCAUGUCGUAAGAGCAGUAAAAAGGGUUCUGCUUUUUUUUAAGCUCAUUUCUUCAUUUCCUUCAUUUCUUGGUGUCCUCCAUGGGAAGUAGGUGAAGUCUUGACCGUUUUAGGCGGUGAACCCUCUUUGAAGUUAAUUUAAUGAGGAAGCGGACAGGGUUCAUGUCUCCUUCAGCUCUCUCAUAUGUGACUUUAUGCACAUUACUCUUGUGUCGUCUACUCCCCUACGCUUGCUGAUUGGGAUAUAAAAGUAAAACUCAAAGGCCAUAACUCAGCCAAGCCCUGUUAACUUAUAUGAGGUGUCAGAAGACAACUUUCCCCUCUGUCCGAUCAGAGCGGCCUUCUCGUACCCGCAGUACACCUGGAGCUGAGAGCGAGGAGGGGGAGGAUCACUGAGGAACAAACAACAAAACUCUCUCUUCUCCAACGUCAGCUGCCCUCUAAUUUUCUUCAGACCCCCGUCACAGAGAGCCAACCUGUCAUUAACCUCGGCCCCUAAUGGACAGGUGCUGAGGGACCCCGAGGUGCUGUGAUCAUUAGGGGACAAUGAUGAUGAUGACCACCACCACAUCAUUCUUUCAGUUUGUUUUUCCUUUUCUUUUGUCUUUCAUUUAUUUAUUACCUUCUUUCUCUUUCCUUUGAUUUCCUUUCUUGUCCGGUUUUCUUCAUUUUUUCCUUUGUUUCUUCAGUGGUGAUUUGGACUAAUCUCAGACAGAAUGUGGACAAAUAUAGCAAUUUGUUGUACAAAAGACUUCUUAUCAUUUAGCUGACAUGUAUUUUUAUUAUUAUUUAUUAAAGGCGUUUUAGUAUUAAAAUUGCUGAUAAAACCACUGACACAAUAAAAGCAAAAUCCAUGUGGAAACUUCUUGAUAUGAACAUUUUUAAACAUUGGAAAACGUGCCUGUAAAAUCAUCAAAAUGAUAUUACAUUGCUUCUUGCAGGUUUCAAAGUGAAAUGUCCAGCGAGUGGCGCUAAAAGCGUGUUUUAUCUGAAACAGAUGAAGGUGAAUCUGGCAACGUUUUAUUACACGUUUGUUGUUGUACGUAUCGCGGCGCUCAGAAAUGAAAUGUCCGGUGAAUGUCAUUAAUAAAGGGUUAAUGCUUUAUCACUUUGAAAAUAGUGUAGCACCUACACUAAAACUGAGCAAUACUAUCAUUACAAUACUAUCAUUUUUAAAUAUGAUGGUUUCAUUAUAAAUAUGGGUAUUAUCUCUAAGGUGGACACCCAACUUAAUAUAUGAUAUUUACUAUCUGAAUCUAACCAUGUCAUGUCAACAAAUGGAAAAGUCAGCCAGCUGUUUAUUAUCAUGUUAAUUAUUGUAUUUACCCCCAACAGCAGGGGCACGUUUUUUUUACCACAAAUACCAUACUUUUACAUAUUCUUCAGUUAUUAAAAAAACUGUUGCUUUAAUUACCUUGAACAAAACUGAAAAUCAUUAACAAGACUUUUGUCUCAAAAUAUAGUCAAUAAUUUUAUCGAUUCUCAUUUGCUACAUAAAUCUACAACAUUUUAAAAAGCAUUAAAUAUUAGAUCAAAUUCGCGCAGAAUCAACUUUGCCUUUCUGUCCGCGGUCGCGUCAAAGAUCAGCCACAUUUCCAUGUGUAUCAUCAAACACGGUUGUUGAGGAAAGUGCUGAGGUGAAUUUUUAGCCAUCUAGUUGUUUAAAGGAGAAUAAAGUCAAAUGCUUUUGUUUUGUUAACAAAAGCAAACGUGAGAUGAAAACGCAUUUGCUGAAGCAACCGUGUCGUUUAAGCUUGCUUGCAUCUUCUUUUAUGUCUUUUAUUGUGACUAGUGUUUGAUUGGACUCGUACCCGAGCGCUUCACAUCAGCAGUGCACUGCUGUACCAGCUUGAGUGAUUCAGACAUCAUCAUGCAGCGGGAAAUGGAGAAAGCCAAUUAUCAAGUAUAAUCCACAGGCUCACAUGGGACCUAUAAAUGUACAAUUUGGGAAGAGCUGAAAGGGAUUCCAUUUGAUGUAGUCAGCGUUCUCAGAACUGGAUUAGGACACACAUAAGCCAUGUAUUACCACAUCUGUUUAACAAUGAAAAUACGUUCUAGACAUUCAGUUCUGACAGCCAAGAUUUGAUCAAUUCUCUAUGCAUUUAUAUUUGUCUUGGGAUAUUUUUUGUUUGUUUGUUUUGAAGUGUUUAUUUGAAGUAAAGUUUGCCGCACUAAA